GAUGAACGCUAGCGGCAGGCCUAACACAUGCAAGUCGAGGGGUAACAUUGGUUGCUUGCAACCAGAUGACGACCGGCGCACGGGUGCGUAACGCGUAUACAAUCUGCCUUGUACUGGGGGAUAGCCUUUAGAAAUGAAGAUUAACACCCCAUGGUAUUAUCGUUUGGCAUCAAUUGAUAAUUAAAGGUUACGGUACAAGAUGAGUAUGCGUCCUAUUAGCUAGUAGGUAUGGUAACGGCAUACCUAGGCAACGAUAGGUAGGGGCCCUGAGAGGGGGAUCCCCCACACUGGUACUGAGACACGGACCAGACUCCUACGGGGAGCAGC
rnacentral:rRNA from 1 species